rnacentral:lncRNA from 1 species
AUUUCCAAGAGGGAAGGUAUGUUUCCCGGAUAUUUUCGAACAAGAGUAUGAUCACUGGAGUGAAGAUCCUCCCACCAGCUUAGCAAUUUCGAAUGGAUAUUGGUGACCGUGUCGAACCUGGGGACUCCGUACUCAUAUUUCUGCAAGAAAAAAGGGUUAGGCCGUUAGCCCCAUUGGACUGGACUAUUUAAAUAUCAAUAGUUGGCAUAAAAUAUUUAGUUCUCUAAAUAAAUGCACAGAACAUGAUAUUUUCCAUUUGGGUUUUAGUGAAACCCAGUAGACUUGGAAAAGUCUAUCUUAAAGAGUCAUUAUAUGGACAACAUAACUGACGGGGCUAGGUUUAACCAUGAUUGAUGCACAACUGAAUAAAGUAUGGUUUCUAUGGGGUAUUAGACUGGUACCCUUGAGCGGACAACUCAAGGAGGAAAGGAACGUAACCAUCGACUACACCAUUGAUCGACUGGUUUUAUAGCAAAUAUACCUUUUCUGGAGUUAGCAUGUUGUCGUGUAUUUUCAUGUUAUGAAAGCAGUAAAUAUAGUAGGUUUCAGAAUUUAAAGCAGCAAUGAAGAAAAGCAGUAAAGGAAAAAAACAAAAGACAAAUCAGUUUGUAGUCAAAAAGGGGGAUUGAAUGCUUAAAGGUAUUAACAAAAUAAAGGCAUAUAAAAAUUGUCAAGUCACAAUAAUAGUCUGAAAUAUUAAAAUCCUACAAGAUCCCCAGCAAAGUCAUCAUUCUGUCGCGCCCCUUUUUUCUUGUGAAAUCGGUUUUAUGACAUUUGGGAGGAUAUUUCAUUCCCUUUUGGGGAAUUUGGGUUUGAAUUGGAGAGUCGCCACCUAAUGAUUAGGGUGCAUUAGGACACCAAUUGGGUUUUAUUUUGAAUAACUAUGGAUUGGGUAAGGGCUUGAAAUUAUUCCAAGGGGAAGGUGUUAGGCACCCCAUAGAAUCCACUAGUAUGGUUCCCGGCCUAACAAUUGUGACUUAGGUGAAAGUAAAAAAUAUAGAUAGAGAAGGCUCAAAUAAGAGGUGAUUUCACAUAUAAAGGUAAAAAAGAAUAGAUAAAGUUUGAAAGAACAAUUUAUAGAAGCUGAGUUUAGAAAUAGAAGAGUAUAAAUGUUAAAGAAAAGAAGUAAGACUAAAAGGGGAGGGGGUCAUAGGUUUAUUAAUAAAAUGGAUCACUCCACACAAUUUCUGGUAAUCACUCCUCAAUGAGGGGCUACACGUGACAUUAUCGCGUAGUCAUCAUAUCCAUAUCUACCAUUCCCACCCUGUUAAGGUAUUAAAGCGUGGAAUGGUCUCGAUUACUUAUUGCAUGCUAUUAGUGUUCCCAAUCCUAUCAGUCCUGGAGGCAUUUAGGACUACUAAUCUUAAAGGGUAGGAAUAUUAGGCUUAUUUGUAGUUUCAAAGGCAAAUAUUCUAAGGCGCCAUACAAAACACGUAUUGCAAGUUGAGGAAAAGCAUAUAACAAAAUAAGGCUCAGAUCUACCUCCUUACACAAAGAAGCAUGUAAUUAGCAUGACUUACAUAUACUGUUUAGGAUCAGAUUAACUACUAGACACGAAAUAACUUAAAGGUUGAGGCAAACUCAUUUAUUACAUAGUUAAGAUAAGAAUCCUGAAUCAGUUCUGCCUGCUGGUUGUAUUUAAUAGAACAGAUUUCAAUUUAUAAAUUUGCCCCAAGGCUUGCCUAAGUGUUGGACAAGAAUCCUAUUUGCAUGGUAUCUAUUGAGUUCAGAAAGUAAUGAAAUAACGAGGUCUAAAUUAAACUGAAUAUUUACUUGUUAGAAGGGAUAGUCAGGUUAUAAGUUCUGCAACUGAUGGUACCUAUAAUUAUUGGUUUUAGCUCUAGACGUGAAUGAAGCAAUUCAGAUUCGAUUAGGACUUCCUAUAGACACGUUUUGUACACAUAGUUUAUUUGGAACCUUGGAGACAUGGUAUAAAAUGCAGAAGACUGAUUAUAAACCUGUGAACAUGAUAUCUAGAUGCAGAAAUUUGUUUAAAACCUAUGGACAUGAUAUCUUGGUGCAAUUGUUCGUGCAGAUUUAGACAAACUUGUAUGCAUGAUUUCUAUAUAAAUAUUGUUGUCCUAUGAACAUGAUUUCUAUGUGAGUGUAGAUUAUACAGAAUUAAGAAGAAACUAUACGCAUGAUUUCUAUAUAUAUUUGCAUAUGCAGAUUUCAAACACUUAUGGGCGUGAUUUAUAUAUACAUAUUCAAAGUUCAUAUAGACAUGGUAUCUACCCUUUUUUCGUAGAUAGUAACCCGCACUCUUCACUAACCAUCUCCCAGAGUUUAUGAAAAAUUAUUACAGCCCAAAUAAAGUAAAAAUACAUCAAAAAAAUAUACAUAAAAGUACAACUAAAGGAGAGCUUGAUUCAGAUUUUAUGUCUAAAAUAUGAGGUAAACCAACUCCAUGAGAUCAUGAUCCAAAGCCUUUCUCCCAUUUGAGUGUGUCAAAGUUCCCUAAAAGCCUCAAAGGGACUUUGGCAAUGCUCACUCCCAAAUGUAUUAUUAAAUUAGGACAAAUGCAGUGUGGAAGGGCCAGCCCUCAAGUGUCCAAGUUCAGAAAGGACUCAAAGGUUCCAAAGGCAAGGCUCACAAGAGGAGGGCAGGACUUAGAGACUAAGAAGGAGUGUAAGUGCAUAUAUAAUGCUAAAAGGGAAAAGAAGAGGGAAACAACUACUAAUAAACAGACAUAGGGGGUUUAGCGGAAUAUGGAGAAUGUAAUGAGCCUAUUGCUUAGGAAAGGGCAAGCUUUAGGCAUGCCCAUCCAUGGAGAAUGCUCGUAUACCAUAAGCCAGCUAGACAUUAUUAAAGGCUAGGAUCCCAAGGGAUCAAGUUUAAUUCAUGGAAAAUAAUUUGCAUAUUGUCAUUCCUCAAACCAUAGCAUGAACACAUAGGGGCAGGGUUUGGGAUUCAUAACAGGACAUUCAGAAAUGAAAUCAGUGGUAUGAAACCACACAAAAGCAACAAGAAGACAGGGAGACAUAAGUAGUAAAUAAACACAUUGUUGAGGUGAAAAAACCUUUGAAUCAGGACAUAUAAAUUUCAAAGAAAUAAGCAGAUAAGAGCAGGCAGUAGGUCUUGAAAACAGGCAACAGUGCAAGCAACAAGAGCGAAUACUUCUGAGUGUGAGUGUAAGUUUAGAAAGAUUAAAAGUGAUGGAUGCUUUGUUAAUGAAAGAGUUGUGUAUUUAUAGCAUGAAAAAAAGGCAAAAAUAAGGUGAGAAAACAAUCAAGGAACUGGAUAUCAAUUAAGAAUCAAUCAAUACAAGACUUCCUUAAAUUAAUGAAUUCAGACUCAGAAGGUAUAAGUUAUUUAAAGAAAGCAAUAAAACAAGCAAUUUGUACAAUGUAGGCAAUUAGGGGUAAAUACAUAGAAGUUUAUUUAGUGGAAGAUUUUGAGAUAUACGUUCAAGACAAAUAAGGAAAGAAUCAAUUAAUACAGAGUAAAUCAAGGGGUUAGAGGUUUUGUAAUUACUGGUCUAUGAAUGAACCAAGUCAGAAAAGCCAAGAAAAGUUUUUAACUCAAAUCGAGUAACAGGGGAAUCAGGAAACAAGGAAGGAAAUCAAUCAAACUUGUACAAAAGGAGUAUGAAAUCAAUCAAAAUUGAAGAUAUUUUUAUAGGGAAGUUACACACAUAUAAAGAGAAUACAAGUACUAGGCAUACAAAACUAAGUUUAUGACACAAAAGAAAAAGAGUCAUGUAAUUAUAAAAUCAGUAGGUAGUAGGUUGUAAGACCAUGGUAGUCACAUAGGUCAGCAGUGUAGAAGAGAUAGUAUCAAAUAGCAUACCAAGGGGUCCAGUGUGAGGACCUUAGAAGAAUUUAGUAGAGAAUCAGAAUUGUUGAAAGAAACAAAGGUUUCAAGACUCAGUUGAGCAACAGAUGAAAUAAAUUCAGAGACGAAAGGUAAGUGAUUAAGGGAAAAUAUACUAAUUAAAGCUGGUUCAGAGGUCUCAUAAAGGAACUGAGUCAUUUUAACAUACUCUUUCAGUGGUAGGAACUCAUUUGAAAUAUAGUAAAAGAAUAGCAUACAAAACCAGUAGAAGAACUAGUAGAAGAAACUAAUAUUAAAUCUAGCAGAAGAAACUAAUAAGAACAUAGUAGGUGAAAUAUAGUAGAAGAAACACACAAAGAACACAGUUGAAGAAACGAAUAAGAACAUGAUAGAAGCAAUUUAACAAGAAAAUAGUAGGAGAAACAUACAAAGAACACAGUAGAAGAAACAUAUAAAGAACACAGUAAAAGAAACACACAAGAGAAAAGAAAAUCAAAGAAAUAACUCAAAAGGCCUAAAUCAAAAAAAUAAAGGUUUUGAAAGCAUAGUUUUGACAGAAAUCUCAAGAAAUUUUUUUAAAAAUUUAGGGGAAACACUGAUCUAGACCAGAUCUAAAGAAAUCAGAACAACUUCAAAAGCUAGGGUUUCAGAGGAACCCAAACAGUGAGAAAGACUUGGAUAGUCUUUUAUCUAAGCAGGAGGAGUCGAGGCCAAGAUCAAACAGACAUCGCUUGCCGGAGAUGGCCUUGGAACUUGAAACAAACAAAGAUCUGGACCCAGCACUUUCAUGGUCAGGUCAUGAGACUUCAGUACCAAGCGUGGAUGAGACAUAGAAGGGUGGUGGGUGGUGAAACCAUCAUGGAUUAAGGCAAGAAAAUGGCCGGAGAAGGUGAGUAAAAGUAAUCGGAGCGGACGGAGAGGGGGAAGGUUCUAGAGAGAACCAUAUAUAGAGAGAUGGAGAGGAGAGUCGGUUGAGUGAAGAAUGA